CCUACGUGUGGCAGCAGUGAGGAAUAUUGGUCAAUGGGCGCUAGCCUGAACCAGCCAAGUAGCGUGAAGGAUGACUGCCCUAUGGGUUUUACACUUCUUUUAUAUGGGAAUAAAGUGCAGUAUGUAUACUGCUUUGCAUGUACCUUAUCAAUAAGGAUAGGCUCACUCCGUGCCAGCAGCCGCGGUAAUACGGAGGAUCCGAGCGUUAUCCGGAUUUAUUGGGUUUAAGGGGAGCGUAGGCGGGUGGUUAAGUCAGUUGUGAAUGUUUGCGGCUCAACCGUAAAAUUGCAGUUGAUACUGGCAUCCUUGAGUACAGUAGAGGGAGGCGGAAUUCGUGGUGGAGCGGUGAAAUGCUUAGAGAUCACGAAGAACUCCGAUUGCGAAGGCAGCCUGCUGGACUGUAACUGACGCUGAUGCUCGAAAGUGUGGGUAUCAAACAGGAUUAGAUACCCGAGUAGUC
rnacentral:rRNA from 1 species